AUGGACAAGUCCCUAAAGAUACACAUGCCCCGGCCCAUGUGCCUCAUUGAGAAUGUGAAAGGACAACUAAGAGCCAAUCAGAAGGCCCUGGAGAUCCUGUCAGCUGUUACACAGCCUAUAGCAGUGGUGGCUAUUGUGGGCCUCUAUCGCACAGGAAAAUCCUACCUGAUGAACAAGCUGGCUGGGAAGAAAACUGGAUUCUCUCUGGGAUCCACUGUGCAGGCUCAUACAAAAGGAAUCUGGAUGUGGUGUGUGCCUCACCCCAACAAGGCAAACCACAUGCUUCUUCUGCUUGACACUGAGGGCCUAGGUGAUGUGGAGAAAGGUGACAACCAGAAUGACUGUUGGAUCUUUGCUCUGGCUAUUCUUCUAAGCAGCACCUUUGUCUACAACAGCAUGGGAGCCAUCAACCAGCAGGCCAUGGACCAGCUGCACUAUGUGACAGAGCUCACAGAUCGGAUCCGAGCAAGAUCCUCACCUGACCCAGAUGAUGGGGUAGAAGACUCAGCUGAGUUUGUCAGCUUCUUCCCCGACUUUGUGUGGACUCUGAGGGAUAUGACCUUGAAAAUGGAAGUAGAUGGACACCCCAUCACAGCAGAUGAGUACCUGGAGAUUUCUCUGAAGCUCAAGGAAGGUUCCUGCAAGGAAGUUGAAAAAUAUAACCUACCCUGACUCUGUAUUCGUAAGUUUUUCCCAAAGAAGAAAUGUUUUAUAUUCUACCCACCCACUGAGUGGAAAAAGCUUUUUCGGCUAGAGACACUGCAAGAAAAUGAGAUCGAUUCUGAGUUUCUGAAGCAAGUAGCAGAAUUCUGUUCAUACGUCUUUAAGGAGUGCAAAGCCAAAACCCUUCCAGGAGGUGUCAUUGUCAAUGGCCCACGACUAGAAACCCUGGUGCUGACCUAUCUCAGUGCCAUCGGCAGUGGGGAUCUCCCCUGCAUGGAGAACGCAGUCCUGGCUUUGGCCCAGAUAGAGAACUCAGCAGCAGUGGAAAAGGCCAUCACCCACUAUGACCAACAGAUGAGCCAGAGGGUACAGCUGCCCACAGAGACCCUCCAGGAGUUGCUGGACCUGCACAGGACCUGUGAGAGAGAGGCCAUAGAAAUCUUCCUCAGGACCUCUUUUAAAGAUGAAGACCAUUUAUUUCAAAUGAAAUUAGGGUCUCAGCUAGAAGAAAGAUGGGAUGACUUUUUUAAACACAAUACGGAAGUGUCAUCCAACCGUUGCUGGGCAUUGCUUCAGGAUAUCUUCAGACCUCUUGAAGAAGGUGUGAAGCAAGGCACUUAUUCAAAGCCAGGAGGCUACUACCUCUUUGUUCAGGAGACCCAGGGAAUGAAGGAAAAGUACCAUGGACAACCGAAGAAGGGCUUACAGGCUGAAGAGGUUCUGCAGAAAUAUUUACAAUCCAAGGAGUCUAUUUCUACUGCAAUUUUACAGACGGAUCAGAAUCUGACCAAAAAGGAAAAGGAGAUUGAAGGUAAGAAAUGA